CCAGAUAUUUCGUUCCACGGUCAUUUCAGGUCAAGAUUUCUUCUUCUGUGCAUGCUCUCGCUACGUGACUUUGCACAUUUUCUGAAGGGCAAUUCUUAAUCACUCUCUAGUGAGGGAUAUG